rnacentral:rRNA from 1 species
AGAGUUUGAUCCUGGCUUAGGAUGAACGCUGGCGGCGUGCUUAACACAUGCAAGUCGAACGGAGCCAAGGAGUGCUUGCAUUCCUGAAGCUUAGUGGCGGACGGGUGAGUAACGCGUGGGGAAUCUGCCCCGUACCGGGGGAUAACACUUAGAAAUAGGUGCUAAUACCGCAUAAGCGCACACUGAGGCAUCUCAGCGUGUGAAAAACUCCGGUGGUACGGGGUGACCCCCGCGUCUGAUUAGCCAGUUGGCAGGGUAACGGCCUACCAAAGCGACGAUCAGUAGCCGGCCUGAGAGGGUGAACGGCCACAUUGGGACUGAGACACGGCCCAAACUCCUACGGGAGGCAGCAGUGGGGAAUAUUGCACAAUGGGCGAAAGCCUGAUGCAGCGAACGCCGCGUGAGUGAAGAAGUAUCUCGGUAUGUAAAGCUCUAUCAGCAGGGAAGCAAAUGACGGUACCUGACUAAGAAGCCCCGGCUAACUACGUGCCAGCAGCGGC